AUUGAACGCUGGCGGCAUGCCUUACACAUGCAAGUCGAACGGUAACGGGUCCUUCGGGAUGCCGACGAGUGGCGAACGGGUGAGCAAUAUAUCGGAACGUGCCCAGUAGUGGGGGAUAACUGCUCGAAAGAGCAGCUAAUACCGCAUACGACCUGAGGGUGAAAGGGGGGGAUCGCAAGACCUCUCGCUAUUGGAGCGGCCGAUACCAGAUUAGCUAGUUGGUGGGGUAAAGGCCUACCAAGGCAACGAUCUGUAGUUGGUCUGAGAGGAAGACCAGCCACACUGGGACUGAGACACGGCCCAGACUCCUACGGGAGGCAGCAGUGGGGAAUUGUGGACAAUGGGCGCAAGCCUGAUCCAGCAAUGCCGCGUGCAGGAAGAAGGCCUUCGGGUUGUAAACUGCUUUUGUCAGGGAAGAAAUCUUCUGGGCUAAUACCCCGGGAGGAUGACGGUACCUGAAGAAUAAGCACCGGCUAACUACGUGCCAGCAGCCGCCGUAA
rnacentral:rRNA from 1 species